rnacentral:lncRNA from 1 species
GGGAAAAUACACAAUGCACGUGGGCAAGACAGGCCUAUAUAUAAUUAUAAGGGAACGGAAGUUGCAAUGGAUAAAUCCAGCAGAAUGUAGAUGGUAAAGAUCAGACACAAUAAGACAUUGCCAAACAAUACAUAAGACACAAAAUUCCGUUAACAAAUAUUUUCCAUAAAGACAAAUAGACGGUCAAAACUAUUGUCAAACACAUAAUGAUGAGUAUACAAAUAAUUUAGUAGACACGAGACACAAGUUAAUAUGAGUGCCAUGGACAAAAGCACUAGAUCGAGAGAAAAAUGAACACUAACAAGUGAUUGAAUUGAAAACUGUCAUGGAGAUAUAUGUCAGAAGAUUUUAUACGACCAAGGAAAUCAAAAGAAACAGCAAGAC